GUGCUCGCUUCGGAGCACAUAUAGUAAAAAUUGGAACAAUACAGAGAAGACUAGCAUGGCCCCUGAACAAGGAUUUCAGGCAAAUUUGUGAAGUGUUUCAUUAAAAA